rnacentral:rRNA from 1 species
UACAGAGGGUGCGAGCGUUAAUCGGAAUUACUGGGCGUAAAGCGCGCGUAGGCGGCUUUGCAAGUCGAGUGUGAAAUCCCCAGGCUUAACCUGGGAACUGCGUUCGAGACUGCAUGGCUAGAGUAUGGGAGAGGGAAGUGGAAUUUCAGGUGUAGCGGUGAAAUGCGUAGAUAUCUGAAGGAACAUCAGUGGCGAAAGCGACUUCCUGGACCAAUACUGACGCUCAUGUGCGAAAGCGUGGGGAGCAAACAGG